rnacentral:rRNA from 1 species
UACGGAGGGGGCUAGCGUUGUUCGGAAUUACUGGGCGUAAAGCGCACGUAGGCGGCUCUGUAAGUUAGAGAUGAAAGCCCGGGGCUCAACUCCGGAAUUGCCUUUAAGACUGCAUCGCUAGAAUUGUGGAGAGGUAAGUGGAAUUCCGAGUGUAGAGGUGAAAUUCGUAGAUAUUCGGAAGAACACCAGUGGCGAAGGCGACUUACUGGACACAUAUUGACGCUGAGGUGCGAAAGCGUGGGGAGCAAACAGG